rnacentral:rRNA from 1 species
UACGUAGGGUGCUAGCGUUGUUCGGAAUCAUUGGGCGUAAAGCGCGUGUAGGUGGUUAAUUAAGUCGGGUGUGAAAUCCCUGGGCUCAACCGAGGAAGUGCAUCCGAAACUAAUUAGCUAGAGAGUGGUAGAGGGAGGUGGAAUUCCUAGUGUAGAGGUGAAAUUCGUAGAUAUUAGGAGGAAUACCGGAGGCGAAGGCGGCCUUCUGGACCAUUUCUGACACUGAGACGCGAAAGCGUGGGGAGCAAACAGG